AUGUACCACGCGUACACUGCGGUUCCUGCGCGCUGUCCGCACCCUAGUGGCGGCUGCUCACGACGUUUUGUUAGCC
rnacentral:sRNA from 2 species